UCCCUGGUGGCUCAGUGGUAAAGAAUCUGCCUGCCAAUGCAGGAGACACAGGUUCGAUCCCUGCUUUGGGAA
rnacentral:tRNA from 1 species